UCAUCAGUUCGGGGCGCGCCGACCUCACGGCGAUGAAGACGACGAUCUGGCGGCCGAACGUGAGAGUGACGCUCAACGAGUAUGGCGAAGUCGAGGACACGGAGAGUGGUGGAGAGGAGGUGACGAAGCAGGGGACGAAGCGGAAGAGAGCCCCUCGCACGAAGGGGCCGUGCGAGCACGGGGUGAAGUAUCGGUCGCAGUGCAAGGUGUGCGGUGCUUGUCCCCACGGGAAGCAGCGCAGAAGAUGCAAGGAGUGCGGCGGGUCUCAAAUCUGCGAGCACGGUCGUCGGCGCUCUCAGUGCAAGGAGUGCGGUGGGUCUGGAAUCUGCGAGCACGGUCGUCGGCGCUCUCUGUGCAAGGAGUGCGGUGGGGGCUCAAUUUGCGAGCACGGUCGUCAGCGCUCUGAGUGCAAGGAGUGCGGUGGGGGCUCAAUUUGCGAGCACGGUCGUCGGCGCUCUCGGUGCAAGGAGUGCGGCGGGUCUCAAAUCUGCGAGCACGGUCGUGAGCGGUCUAAGUGCAAGGAGUGCGGUGGGUCUGGAAUCUGCGAGCACGGUCGUCAGCGCCCUUAUUGCAUGGAGUGCGGUGGGUCUGCAUUCUGCGAGCACGGUCGUCGGCGCUCUCAGUGCAAGGAGUGCGGCGGGUCUGGAAUCUGCGAGCAUGGUCGUCAGCGCCAUAUAUGCAAGGACUGCGGUGGUACAUCAAUCUGCGAGCACGGUCGUAUGCGCUAUCGGUGCAAGGACUGUCGAGGCGAACGUCUGUAAUCAAACACGCUUCCACGACAAAGGCCCGCUGGCUAGCUAGUACACGUCCCGCGUCGCCCUCCGCCCGUACCGAACCACGCGCGACUCCUCCCCCGGCGUCGGCACCACCCUCGGCGCGCCCCUCAGACCCGCCAGCUCCGACACCCUCGCAUCCGUCUCCUUCGCCUCGCGCAUGCGACGCGCCUGGUCCCACCGAUUCCUCGCGCCAAACGCGGUGUCGCCCUUACGAUCCGACGACCGGAUCCGGUCGUCGCCCCUCCCCCACUGCUGCUGGUGUAAGCCCGCGGCGGCCGGCGGCUUGUUAACGUCAGCGCCGGGUUUAAUUUUAACGUCCCGGUCGAACCCGUCUCUUCGGAUUCUGUACCCGUUGUGCGCGGCGGGUUUUUCAUCCGACCUCCAGUGCCCCGGCCGCGUUCCCCCCGCGCGUCCGUACCCGUACGCGUCCUGCGCCGGAAGCCUUCUGGAAACAUCUAUUCCGUGUCCGACACCGACGCCACCCCCGCCCGCGCCGUACCCGGCGCUAGUCCCCGGCUGGUACACCCCGUUCACCACCCGCAAGUUCUCCACGUCGCGUUUCAACAAGUCGUUGGCCUCGUUUGCGGUGCGUUCGCGUUCCCGAGUCUCGACGUCCCUCAAUCCGGCGACGAAGGCGGCGUACCGCGCGGAGUAGUCCGAGGAUAACACCCCGGGGCGGUCGGGAAGGUUCGAGGACGCCGACGGCGGCGCCCUCGGGUACCGAAGCGGCUGUUGUUGUUGAUGAUGAUGAUGAUAUUGUCGGGGCGGCGACGAUGGCGCGGCGCGUCUGCCGUGCCAGGGAAUCUCGCGGCCGCUCCCGGGUCGAUCGGCCUCGUCGAGCGCCGCUCGUUCGUUCGUCCAAUCCUUCGGCGAGUCGCGCCGCGCGCCUUCGUCGAACAGCGCGACGCCAUCGCCGUCGUCGUCGUCGUCGGCGGCGGCGGCGGCGGCGGCGGCGUAUCGCGGCGGGCGUGAGCCGUGCGACGGAGGCCGGGCGACUCGGUAUUCCGCCACCCCGGUUGGCGACGCGCGGUCCCGGCCGUCUUCUUCCCGUCCUUCUCGGCUGCUCGUUCGGCCGCCCGACGCCCUCCUCCCGAAGGACGGCCUCGCCGCGGUCAACGGCCGUUGGCUCACCGGCGUCCACCGGGAAGACGAGGCGUCGUCGUCGGCGGCGGCGGGUGACCGCAUCGGAUGUUGUUGUUGUUGCUGCUGAUGCUGUCGAUGUUGUUGUUGUUGCUGCUGCCACUGCUGCUGCUGCUGCUGCUGCUGCUGCUGUAGCUGCUGUUGUUGUUGUUGCUGCUGCCAGUCCUGCUGCUGCUGCUGCUGCCGUUGAAAGCCGAAGCUCCCGGUGGGCCGCGCCGGUUUAAGAAAGUUUCCGCUCGUCUCCGGAGGCUUACGUCGCUGCUCGAGCUCCGCCGCCACGCGCCGCGCCGCCUCCGCGCGCUUCCUCGCCGCGGCGCCCAGUCCCUCGCGCCCCCCCACCCUCGCCGUCUCCGGCCUACCCCCGUUCCUGGCCCGUGCGACGCCGAAAUUCCGCACCUCCUCGGACCAGUACUCGUCGAAGACGACGAAAUUGUUAUUCUGCUUGGCGAAGGCUCGGAGGUUGUGGUGCUUGGCCAUGAACGCCACGAGCUUGGGCGACGGCCUGUCGUACGCCAGCCGCGCGGGGUGCCGGUCCUCGCGCUGAAGGAACGCGUCGAACAGCAGCGAGCCCCAGCCGCCCCUCUGCGACGAUUCGUGCACGUAAAAGUCGAGGACGCAGCAGGGUUCCAUCUCCUCCAUCCCGCCGCUCGGCUUGGCGACGAAGAGCCUUUUGGGCCCAACCUUGAGGAUGCCGACGAGGACGGACGGGCCGCCGCGCGGGCGCGUGGCGUCGGAGCACGCGAGGUACAGACGCUGAUCCUCGAGCAGCCGGUCCUGUGGCGCGUGCGGGUGGAUGGGGAGGGGGGGGUAGGUGAGCGGGGGUGUUCAUCGUCCGAUUGUUGGCGCCGGGUGCCCGUUUUCUUCGGCGGUGCCGACGGACGUACCGUGGACGUGAUGGGCGCCGGGAGGCCCUGCGCGCGCGCGGAUCUGGCGCCCGCCUCGUCGAUGAGCGCGGAUAUCGCGCGAUACUCGUCCGGGGGCAGGCGGACGAUCGCAUCGCGCGUCCACACCGAAACGCCCCCCGGCGUGAGGCCCGCGACUCCCCUCGGAUGCUGCAUCGUCGUCUCUCGGGCGAGGCGGAGACGCGCGGGGAUCGGGCGCGCGCGGGACGGGGGGCGGCGCCUGGGGUUUAGCGCGACGGUGGGGAUGGGCCGUCAACGAUGGAAGUAUCUCGCGGCGGGUCGGCGCGCGGGGAGUGUCGGCGCGCGAUGCCGCCGCGCGGCUGGGCGCGUGCGGCGGAGUGUGCCGUUGACUCACGGGCUGGACGCUGACCUCUUGGAAAAGUCAGUUCGGGGCGCGCCGACCUCACGGCGAUGAAGACGACGAUCUGGCGGCCGAACGUGAGAGUGACCCUCGACGAGUAUGGCGAGGUCGUGGACACGGAGAGUGGUGGAGAGGAGGUGACGAAGCAGGGGACGAAGCGGAAGAGAGCCCCUCGCACGAAGGGGCCGUGCGAGCACGGGGUGAAGCCUCGGUCGAAAUGCU
rnacentral:lncRNA from 1 species